rnacentral:rRNA from 1 species
AACGAACGCUGGCGGCAUGCCUAACACAUGCAAGUCGAACGAGACCUUCGGGUCUAGUGGCGCUCGGGUGCGUAACGCGGGGGAACCUGCCCUUAGGUUCGGAAUAACUCCCCGAGAGGUGUGCUAAUACCGGAUGAUGUCUUAGGACCAAAGAUUUAUCGCUGUUGGAUGGGCGCGCGUUGGAUUAGCGAGUUGGUAGGGUAAUAGCCUGCCAAGGAGACGUUGCUGGGCUGGUCGGUGAGGAUGCCACUCCACGCUGGGCCUGCGGCACGGACCAGUACCGUACGGAGGGGAGCGGUAGGGUAUAUUAGGGGAGGGGCGAAAGCGUGAUAAAGCAAUGUCGCGGGAGUGAUGAAGGCCUUAGGGUUGUAAAGCCCUUUUAGCCGAGAUGUUAAUGACAGUACCGGGAGAAUAAGCUCCGGCUAACUACGUG